rfam:Oryza glaberrima chromosome 3 Oglab03_0146_13, whole genome shotgun sequence.
UACAAGUGCAACCAUGAGUUUUCGCGUCUAAAUUUGAUCGUCCGUCUUAUUUGAAAUUUUUUUAUAAUUAGUAUUUUUGUUGUUAUGAGAUGAUAAAAUAUGAAUAGUACUUUACUCGUGACUUAUGUUUUUAAUUUUUUUUAAAAAAAUUUCAAAUAAGACGAACGAUCAAAGUUGGGUGUGGAAAACCAUGGCUGCACUUAAA